UUCAUGAUUGGAGAUGCUUGUUAACCGAGAAAUAAAUAUGAAGCCUGAAAACCUAAAAUCUUAAUGGACUGAAUCCGUUGUGUUUUUAACUAAUCUCUGCUGGGAUCAUGCGUUU